GAUAAGCUUCAUUGAGUACAUGUAGCCAGCAAUCAAAUCGUUUCGAAACUCAGGAACCGUGCGAGGCAAAGUGCAAGGAGUAGAUUUACUUAAACCAAAAACUGAUACACUAAAUAAAUCAAAAAGCGUGGCAAAAAGUUUCUUAAGGUCAAUUCGAUACAGUUUUGCUUCGUCGUUUUGCUGAAUAAUAUGUAAACGCAUUUUAAAAUUAGAUUCGUUUUAGUUCAUAUAUAAACUAAUACAUACAUAGAUAACGUAUUAUAAAUAUUUCUGCUCCCAGUAAGUCGAGUUAGUUGCUCUAAAACCUGUACAAAAUGAAAUUCGCAGCAUCACUUUGUGUACUCCUCGCUCUAUUUGGCCUAUCCCUCGCUGCUCCGCGGAAUGCCUGUCAGCCAUGCCUUUUGUAAAUUUGAAUGAAGACAUCGAUGUCGAUGUCCAUUAAUAUUUUCAAAAUCAAGCAUCGAUGUUGGAUUAAUACAUUGGAUUGAAAAUUCGA